AUAUUCUGGUUUCUCUUCAAAUUGUAUAAAUCUUUCACCUUUUACUAAAGAUUUCUGUGGGGAGGAAUAUCUAUGAUAAAUAUCUAAUCUUGUCUUGAAUGCUUAAUAAUAUCUAGCAA